rnacentral:rRNA from 1 species
GACCAACGCUGGCGGCGUGCUUAACACAUGCAAGUCGAACGGAAAGGCCCUGCUUUUGUGGGGUGCUCGAGUGGCGAACGGGUGAGUAACACGUGAGUAACCUGCCCUUGACUUUGGGAUAACUUCAGGAAACUGGGGCUAAUACCGGAUAGGAGCUCCUGCUGCAUGGUGGGGGUUGGAAAGUUUCGGCGGUUGGGGAUGGACUCGCGGCUUAUCAGCUUGUUGGUGGGGUAGUGGCUUACCAAGGCUUUGACGGGUAGCCGGCCUGAGAGGGUGACCGGCCACAUUGGGACUGAGAUACGGCCCAGACUCCUACGGGAGGCAGCAGUGGGGAAUAUUGCACAAUGGGCGGAAGCCUGAUGCAGCAACGCCGCGUGCGGGAUGACGGCCUUCGGGUUGUAAACCGCUUUCGCCUGUGACGAAGCGUGAGUGACGGUAAUGGGUAAAGAAGCACCGGCUAACUACGUG